CCUACGUGAGGCAGCAGUGGGGGAUAUUGCACAAUGGGGGGAACCCUGAUGCAGCGACGCCGCGGGGGUGAAGAAGCGCCUCGGCGCGUAAAGCCCUGUCAGCAGGGAAGAAAAUGACGGUACCUGAAGAAGAAGCCCCGGCUAACUACGUGCCAGCAGCCGCGGUAAUACGUAGGGGGCAAGCGUUAUCAGGAUUUACUGGGUGUAAAGGGGGCGAAGACGGCGAUGCCAGCAAGGAGUGAAAGCCCGGGGCCCAACCCCGGGACGGCGCUUGGAACUGCGUGGCUGGGGUUCAGGAGGGGCAGGCGGAAUUCCUGGUGUAGCGGUGAAAGGCGUAGAUAUCAGGAGGAACACCGGUGGCGAAGGCGGCCUGCUGGACUGCAACUGACGUUGAGGCCCGAAAGCGUGGGGAGCAAACAGGAUUAGAUACCCUUGUAGUC
rnacentral:rRNA from 1 species